AUUGAACGCUGGCGGCAGGCCUAACACAUGCAAGUCGAGCGAGCGGCGGACGGGUGAGUAAUGUAUGGGGACUGCCCGAUAGAGGGGGAUAACUACUGGAAACGGUGGCUAAUACCGCAUACUAUCGGAUAACCCAUAUGGGAUUAGCUAGUAGGUGGGGUACAGGCUCACCUAGGCGACGAUCUCUAGCUAGGCUGAGAGGAUGAUGAGCGACACUGGGAGUGUGACAAGGCCCAGACGCCUACGGAGGCAGUAGUGGGGAAUAUUGCACAAUGGGGGAAAGCAUGAUGCAGCCAUGCCGAGUGAAUGAAGAAGGCCUUAGGGUUGUAAAGGACUUUCAGCAGGGAGGCGUUACACGCAGAAGAAGCACCGGCUAACUCCGUGCCAGCAGCCGCGGUAAGAC
rnacentral:rRNA from 1 species